GCCUAAAGCGUCCGUAGCCGGCUCUGUAAGUUUUCGGUUAAAUCCAUAUGCUCAACAUAUGGGCCGCCGGGAAUACUACAAAGCUAGGGAGUGGGAGAGGUAGACGGUACUCCGUAGGAAGGGGUAAAAUCCUUUGAUCUAUGGAUGACCACCAGUGGCGAAGGCGGUCUACCAGAACACGUUCGACGGUGAGGGAUGAAAGCUGGGGGAGCAAACCGGAUUAGAUACCCGGGUAGUCCCAGCUGUAAACUAUGCAAACUCAGUGAUGCAUUGGCUUGUGGCCAGUGCAGUGCCGCAGAGAAGUCGUUAAGUUUGCCGCCUGGGAAGUACGUACGCAAGUAUGAAACUUAAAGGAAUUGGCGGGGGAGCACCACAAGGGGUGAAGCCUGCGGUUCAAUUGGAGUCAACGCCAGAAAUCUUACCCGGAGAGACAGCAGGAUGAAGGUCAAGUUGAAGCCUUUACCAGACAAGCUGAGAAGUGGUGCAUGGCCGUCGCCAGCUCGUGCCGUGAGGUGUCCUGUUAAGUCAGGUAACGAGCGAGAUCCUUGCCUCUAGUUGCCACCAUUACUCUCAGGAGUAGUGGGGCGAAUUAGCGGGACUGCCGUAGUUAAUACGGAGGAAGGAGAGGGCCACGGCAGGUCAGUAUGCCCCGAA
rnacentral:rRNA from 1 species